rnacentral:rRNA from 1 species
AGCGUUAAUCGGAAUUACUGGGCGUAAAGCGUGCGCAGGCGGCUUUGCAAGACAGAUGUGAAAUCCCCGGGCUCAACCUGGGAAUGGCAUUUGGGACUGCAAGGCUGGAGUUUGGCAGAGGAGACUGGAAUUCCUGGUGUAGCAGUGAAAUGCGUAGAUAUCAGGAGGAAUACCGAUGGCGAAGGCAGGUCUCUGGGCUAUAACUGACGCUCAUGCACGAAAGCGUGGGGAGCAAACAGG